rnacentral:rRNA from 1 species
UGGGGAAUUUUGGACAAUGGGCGAAAGCCUGAUCCAGCAAUGCCGCGUGUGUGAAGAAGGCCUUCGGGUUGUAAAGCACUUUUGUCCGGAAAGAAAUCCUUGGCUCUAAUACAGUCGGGGGAUGACGGUACCGGAAGAAUAAGCACCGGCUAACUACGUGCCAGCAGCCGCGGUAAUACGUAGGGUGCAAGCGUUAAUCGGAAUUACUGGGCGUAAAGCGUGCGCAGGCGGUUUGCUAAGACCGAUGUGAAAUCCCCGGGCUCAACCUGGGAACUGCAUUGGUGACUGGCAGGCUAGAGUAUGGCAGAGGGGGGUAGAAUUCCACGUGUAGCAGUGAAAUGCGUAGAGAUGUGGAGGAAUACCGAUGGCGAAGGCAGCCCCCUGGGCCAAUACUGACGCUCAUGCACGAAAAGCGUGGGGGAGCAAAAGCAGGAUUAGAUACCCUGGUAGUCCACGCCCUAAAACGAUGUCAACUAGUUGUUGGGGAUUCAUUUCCUUAGUAACGUAGCUAACGCGUGAAGUUGACCGCCUGGGGGAGUACGGUCGCAAGAUUAAAAACUUAAAUGAAUUGACGGGGUCAUAGCUGUUUCCU